AGGACAAACGCUGGCGGCGUGCCUAAGACAUGCAAGUCGGACGGGGGGCUUUGGCCCCUAGUGGCGGACGGGUGAGGAACGCGUGGAGAACCUGCCCCGGGGUGGGGGAUACCCGCCAGAAAUGGCGGUUAAGACCGCAUACGAAUGUCUCGUGCAGGCGAGAUCGGGAAAGCAGUGAUGUGCCCUGGGAGGGCUCCGCGUCGGAUUAGCUAGUUGGUGGGGUAACGGCCUACCAAGGCGACGAUCCGUAGCUGGUCUGAGAGGACGGCCAGCCACACUGGGACUGAGACACGGCCCAGACUCCUACGGGAGGCAGCAGUUAGGAAUUUUGACAAUGGGCGCAAGCCUGAUCGAGUGACGCCGCGUGCGGGAUGACGCCUUUCGGGGUGUAAAACCGCUUUUCCCAGGGACGAGGAGUGGACGGGUACCUGGGGAACGAAGUCUCGGCUAACUACGCGCCAGCGGACCGC
rnacentral:rRNA from 1 species